AAUCAACGCUGGCGGCGUGCCUCAGACAUGCAAGUCGAACGAUUAAAGCUCUCUUCGGAGAGUGUAUAGAGUGGCGCACGGGUGAGUAACACGUAAGUAAUCUACCUUCGAGUGGGAAGUAACACCGAGAAAUACGGUGCUAAUACCGCAUAAUGCAGCGGCAUCGCAAGAUGACAGUUGUUAAAGAUUUAUCGCUUGAAGAGGAGCUUGCGGCAGAUUAGCUAGUUGGUAAGGUAAUGGCUUACCAAGGCUACGAUCUGUAACCGGUCUAAGAGGACGGUCGGUCACACUGACACU
rnacentral:rRNA from 1 species